rnacentral:SRP_RNA from 1 species
GGACAGGCUAUGCCGGGAGGCUAGCUCUCUCCUGUUACCGAAAAUGAGCUUUGUCGGGGCAGAAGCUGGCAAGCGGUGCCGCAUGGCUGCACUGGUCCUGUUGGUGCCUAUGAAUUUCUGUCCUGCAGGACGGGUCCGUCGGGGAACCGUGUCAGGUCGGGAACGAAGCAGCACUCACCUUUCGAAUCAGUGCUUGCGGGGAAGCGGAAAGGAGAAGCCCACAGGGACGCUGGUGCAGUUGUUCCGCAUCCAUUGCUGGUGUGCCUGUCC